UGAUGCAGCGACGCCGCGUGAGGGAUGGAGGCCUUCGGGUUGUAAACCUCUUUCGCCAGUGAAGCAGCCUGCUCCUUGUGGGUGGGUUGACGGUAGCUGGAUAAGAAGCGCCGGCUAACUACGUGCCAGCAGCCGCGGUAAUACGUAGGGCGCGAGCGUUGUCCGGAAUUAUUGGGCGUAAAGAGCUCGUAGGCGGCUGGUCGCGUCUGUCGUGAAAUCCUCCGGCUUAACUGGGGGCUUGCGGUGGGUACGGGCCGGCUUGAGUGCGGUAGGGGAGACUGGAACUCCUGGUGUAGCGGUGGAAUGCGCAGAUAUCAGGAAGAACACCGGUGGCGAAGGCGGGUCUCUGGGCCGUUACUGACGCUGAGGAGCGAAAGCGUGGGGAGCGAACAGGAUUAGAUACCCUGGUAGUCCACGCCGUAAACGUUGGGCACUAGGUGAGGGGGGCCUUUUCCGGGUCUUCCGCGCCGUAGCUAACGCAUUAAGUGCCCCGCCUGGGGAGUACGGCCGCAAGGCUAAAACUCAAAGGAAUUGACGGGGGCCCGCACAAGCGGCGGAGCAUGCGGAUUAAUUCGAUGCAACGCGAAGAAC
rnacentral:rRNA from 1 species